rnacentral:rRNA from 1 species
CCUACGGGUGGCAGCAGUGAGGAAUAUUGGUCAAUGGACGAAAGUCUGAACCAGCCAAGUCGCGUGCAGGAAGACUGCCCUAUGAGUUGUAAACUUCUUUUAUAAAGGAAUAAAACGAGGCACGCGUACCUGUUUGCAUGUACUUUAUGAAUAAGGAUCGGCUAACUCCGUGCCAGCAGCCGCGGUAAUACGGAGGAUCCGAGCGUUAUCCGGAUUUAUUGGGUUUAAAGGGAGCGUAGAUGGGUGGAUAAGUCAGUGGUGAAAGCUUGUGGCUCAACCGUGCAAUUGCAAGUGAUACUGGCAGUCUUGAGUGCAGUUGAGGUAGGCGGAAUGUGUGGUGUAGCGGUGAAAUGCUUAGAGAUCACGAAGAACCCCGAUUGCGAAGGCAGCUUACUAAACUGCGACUGACAUUGAGGCUCGAAAGUGUGGGUAUCAAACAGGAUUAGAUACCCCAGUAGUC